CACUAUACUUUUUAACCCCUGGGUCCAUACUUCAAGCAUCUGACGACAUGAAGGAAUUGUGUAGAUCUCUGGACAAAUCCGAGGUGACUUGUUUUAGGAAAUCUAUCCUCCAUCACUUCAUUGGAUACAGUUCAGCACAGUCUGUACCUGUUGCAAGUGAUUGUCAACUGAAAUGUGAGGAGUGUAAAUGUCCAAGAUGCCAAUGCUGUCACAUUUGUCGUAGCUGCUGUCCUUGUUCAAGAACAUAAGAUUUGUACAUGUUUAGAGGAACCAUCUGUUGUCGUUGCCUUGGGGAUAUAAUCCUGAAUUAUAUCAGAUUGGAAAAUGUCUUCAAUAGACUUGCCAACACUCCCUACUUGAUGGCUGCAUCUUGACACCUGCGCAUCUGUGUAUUGCCCAUGACAAUUCUUCAGGAAUUCAUUCACAAGAUCCAGGGCUAUAUUGUGUCCAGGUUUUCCAGUCAGAUUAGCAGUGCUAUUCCAGAUGACUUCAUUUCUUAAUCUGGGAGAAUUGAACCAUGUCCAUUCUCCAAUCUGAAAUGAUAUGGUCUCCCUUGUUGGUGCGUUCUGCAUGUGUCUGGGUCAUAUGGAGAAGUCCGCGCCACAACAUGAUACGGCUGUACUGAUAGACUGAGUCUCCACUUUCCUGGUGUGCUGCGACAGAUGAUUGUAUCGUCGUGGUACUGGACAUCCUCUGCUGCUUCACCGACUACUACUUCCUGGAUUGACUGUGUGUCUAUCAGGGGCCAAGACAGCUGAAUCAUCAGUGCUGCCACUGAAGAGCAUGUUCAUGGAAUCCUGCAGGAUGAUGCACCUUUUGUGAAACCCCUGAGGACGUGGGACAAGACCAGUGAGUUGAUCUUCUGCAUCCUCACUGAAGGCCAUAGAUACUUUUGCCUCAACCAUCCUUUCCACAUUCAGCUGAUCACCAUGGCAAAGAAUUUGACUGUUGUGUGUACUGAUGAGGAGUAUCUUUAACAUCCAUUUCACUGAACUGGGGGAAGUAAACCUGGACUAUUUUCUGUACAAGAUGCUCCAUUCUACUCCUCAGUAUUCUCCAGUCUGUAUCAGAGGAGAAUGUAUUAUCUACUGUAUCCAAGUCACGAAAGGAUAUAUGGUUUUUAGCAGCGAAGCACAAGGCCCAGAACAUCAUCUUAUUUUCAUGCCGGAGGUGGUGGCGAGUCAUACUCAGCUUCUGAAUAUUGUCCCAG